CUCUUCGGUCUUCCUGACAUGUGUUUAUAAUUACUUGGAGUUAUCUCUAUGGCAGCCUGAGUUGCCUUCCAUCUGAAGUGGUCCUUGGGGUGGUGCUCAUUAGGUUAGCCUGCUCCUGGGCUCUGUUGUUUUUUUAAAAUCUGGCAUCUCAGGAGGCAAAAUGGUCUCAUGAAAAGAAGAGCAAAUCAGUAUCAAAAGGUCUAGAUUCUUGGCAAAGUUCUGCCAGUAACAAUCUACAUGACGGGAAAAUUUGCUUCCCAUCUACUCAAUCUCUCUGAGUUGUCAUAAGGAUAAAAUAAUACUCAUCAAGACACAAAACAGCAUGCACAGUUGCAUAGAUGAAGAUGACAUUUUAUUGCUGCAAUCUUGUUGAUAUGAAAAGGUGAGAAAUAAUGUAGUCCAUAAAACAAGUGUAUUCAUUCACAAAAUAUUUAUUAAUCCUACCUGAGAAAACAACAGGCACUUGGAGAACAAAGAAAAAUGGGAUAUAGUCAGGUAUACAGUCAAGGGUUCAGCGACCAGAAGGAAAACGGACACACAAACAAACACUUGUCGCAGUGAAUAGCACUGUAAUGGACUUAUAUAAUCGAUGUGGGAGCACAGAGGAGGAAGCAGCUAGCCCUGCCUAGGGAGGUCAACAAAACAACAGGCAACAGGUAAUCUUCCAGCAGAAUCUUGAAGGAUGGAAAAGGCCCAGGCAGAUAAAUCAGGAAAGAAAACAUCACUUAUAAAAUCUCCACAGCAAGUACAGAAAACCAAAAGUCCAUCAGCAUGCAGGAGUACCGUGGGUGUGUCAGGAAAUACUAAGUCU
rnacentral:lncRNA from 1 species